GACAGAGGGUGCAAACGUUGUUCGGAAUUACUGGGCGUAAAGCGUGUGUAGGCGGUCCACUAAGUCGGGUGUGAAAGCCCUGGGCUCAACCCAGGAAGUGCACUCGAAACUGGCGGGCUAGAGUAUCGGAGAGGUUGGUGGAAUUCUCGGUGUAGCGGUGAAAUGCGCAGAUAUCAGGAGGAACACCAAUGGCGAAGGCAGCACUCUGGGACGUGACUGACGCUGAGGCGGCGAAAGCCAGGGGAGCAAACAGG
rnacentral:rRNA from 1 species